rnacentral:lncRNA from 1 species
GCACAUCCUUAUCUGGGUCAGAUCACAGAAAAUCACAGAGCAAACCUAUAUCAGGGACAUCUGUGGGUCUCAUUAUUCUCCAAAUCUGCUCCAUAGAUUGCAAGUCUGGUGAUAGUCCUCCAUACAACAGAAGAUCUUCUCAUCCACAAUGGCAGCUAUAGGCAGAGAAUUAAAGCAAUCAGUGAAGGUCUUCCACAACUUAAUAUUAAAUUUCAUUUGCAUUCAUCAUAGAAUCCAUAAAUGCAUUUGAUGAUAGCACUUCCAUGAUUUUCUCUUGAUAGAGAAGUUCUCUGGAUAUUUGAUUUUAUAAGCCAAUAGCAAACAAAUGGUUUCCAAAGACUGCUUUCCUCUGUCCACAUAAUUUCCCAAUAAAACAGAUUGGCUUCUGGUGGGAAACUUCCAUAUUCAAAUAAUCUCAGUAAAUCUGUAUACUGUCCAUGAAUAUCUCCACAAAUUUUCAGUGGUACUUCUAAUUCCAAAAGAAUAGGCUGGCUGAGCAAGAUUUCAUGAGAUUGAUACAUAAGCCCUGAACUUCUGCUUCAGUCAUCUGCACAAUCUUUCCUGGACAACAUUCUUAUGCUAAGGAAAAGAUCUUUAUAAAAUCCACUCCCAGAACAGCAAUCGGAGAUAACCAAGGGCCAUGCACAAAUAGAAGAGCAAAGAAAUACACAUUCCAGGGACACACUAUGCCCAGCAGCAGGCACCCUUGCCCCUUCUUUGGAAGGGUCACUGGAGGCCAGCAUGACAGCCAGGAGAGUACCAAGGCCCUUUCUGAAGGCUCUAUUUUUUUUUCUGAAACAGGAUCACUACAUUGCUGAGGCAAGACUCGAAUUUGGGAUCCACCUGCCUCAGCCUCCCAAGUUGCUGGAAUUACACAGGCCCGGCUAUUAUUUUAUUUUUAAAAUGUUUUAAAUGUGAUUGUGGCUGCUCUAACAAAUUGUUAUCUGUUUAGAGCUUAAAGGAACAACUGUGUUGUUAUAAAGGAUUGGAGUUUGGAAAUCUAAAAUAGGUUGACAGGGCUUCAUUCUUUCUGUGGCUUGACAGGUAAUCUGCAUCUUCGCCUUUUCCAGCUUCUGGAUCCUUCUCAUUCCUAGGCUCAUAGACUUGCAUCAUUCCCACCACUGAUUCUGUCAUUUCAUCUUCUUCUCUGACUGAUGCUCCUCUUACUGGUG